GGACCCGCACAAGCGGUGGAUGAUGUGGAUUAAUUCGAUGCAACGCGAAAAACCUUACCUACCCUUGACAUGGCAGGAAUCCCGAAGAGAUUUGGGAGUGCUCGCAAGAGAACCUGCACACAGGUGCUGCAUGGCUGUCGUCAGCUCGUGUCGUGAGAUGUUGGGUUAAGUCCCGCAACGAGCGCAACCCUUGUCAUUAGUUGCUACGAAAGGGCACUCUAAUGAGACUGCCGGUGACAAACCGGAGGAAGGUGGGGAUGACGUCAAGUCCUCAUGGCCCUUAUGGGUAGGGCUUCACACGUCAUACAAUGGUACAUACAGAGGGCCGCCAACCCGCGAGGGGGAGCUAAUCCCAGAAAGUGUAUCGUAGUCCGGAUUGUAGUCUGCAACUCGACUACAUGAAGUUGGAAUCGCUAGUAAUCGCGGAUCAGCAUGUCGCGGUGAAUACGUUCCCGGGUCUU
rnacentral:rRNA from 1 species